rnacentral:rRNA from 1 species
GACGAACGCUGGCGGCGUGCUUAACACAUGCAAGUCGAACGGAAAGGCCCUGCUUUUGUGGGGUGCUCGAGUGGCGAACGGGUGAGUAACACGUGAGUAACCUGCCCUUGACUUUGGGAUAACUUCAGGAAACUGGGGCUAAUACCGGAUAGGAGCUCCUACUGCAUGGUGGGGGUUGGAAAGUUUCGGCGGUUGGGGAUGGACUCGCGGCUUAUCAGCUUGUUGGUGGGGUAGUGGCUUACCAAGGCUUUGACGGGUAGCCGGCCUGAGAGGGUGACCGGCCACAUUGGGACUGAGAUACGGCCCAGACUCCUACGGGAGGCAGCAGUGGGGAAUAUUGCACAAUGGGCAGAAGCCUGAUGCAGCAACGCCGCGUGCGGGAUGACGGCCUUCGGGUUGUAAACCGCUUUCGCCUGUGACGAAGCGUGAGUGACGGUAAUGGGUAAAGAAGCACCGGCUAACUACGUG